UUUUAUAAAUAAAUUUAUUAAAAUUAUUAAAAUAAAAAAAAAAUAUGAAAUAGAUUUAUUUAUUUGAUUGGGGAGAUAGAAAAAUAAAUUUAACUUUUUUUUUAUAAAAACCCAUUGAUAAAUGAAUAUAUGAUCCAAAAAUAAUGAUUAAAAGAAAAAAUUACCUUAGGGAUAACAGCGUAAAUC
rnacentral:rRNA from 1 species